rnacentral:rRNA from 1 species
UACGGGGGGGAUAAGCGUUGUUCGGAAUUACUGGGCGUAAAGGGCUCGUAGGCGGCCAACUAAGUCAUACGUGAAAUCCCUCAGCUUAACUGGGGAACUGCGUGUGAUACUGGAUGGCUUGGAUUUGGGAGAGGGAUGCGGAAUUCCAGGUGUAGCGGUGAAAUGCGUAGAUAUCUGGAGGAACACCGGUGGCGAAGGCGGCAUCCUGGACCAAUAUUGACGCUGAGGAGCGAAAGCCAGGGGAGCAAACGGG